rnacentral:rRNA from 1 species
GACGAACGCUGGCGGCGUGCCUAACACAUGCAAGUCGAACGAGAAUCUUUGGAAUGAUUCUUUCGGGAUGAAUUCCAAAGAGGAAAGUGGCGGACGGGCGAGUAACGCGUGAGUAACCUGCCCAUAAGAGGGGGAUAAUCCAUGGAAACGUGGACUAAUACCGCAUAUUGUAAUUAAGUUGCAUGACUUGAUUAUGAAAGAUUUAUCGCUUAUGGAUGGACUCGCGUCAGAUUAGAUAGUUGGUGAGGUAACGGCUCACCAAGUCAACGAUCUGUAGCCGAACUGAGAGGUUGAUCGGCCGCAUUGGGACUGAGACACGGCCCAGACUCCUACGGGAGGCAGCAGUGGGGAAUAUUGCGCAAUGGGGGCGAACCCUGACGCAGCAACGCCGCGUGCAGGAAGAAGUAUUUCGGUAUGUAAAGCUCUAUCAGCAGGAAAGAAAAUGACGGUACCUGACUAAGAAGACCCCGGCUAACUACGUGCCAGCAGCCG